rnacentral:rRNA from 1 species
AUUGAACGCUGGCGGCAGGCCUAACACAUGCAAGUCGAGCGGGGUUUUCGGACCUAGCGGCGGACGGGUGAGUAAUGCGUAGGAAGCUGCCCGAUAGAGGGGGACACCAGUUGGAAACGACUGUUAAUACCGCAUAAUGUCUACGGACCAAAGUGUGGGACCUUCGGGCCACAUGCUAUCGGAUGCGCCUACGUGGGAUUAGCUAGUUGGUGAGGUAAUGGCUCACCAAGGCGACGAUCUCUAGCUGGGUUGAGAGGAUGACCAGCCACACUGGAACUGAGACACGGUCCAGACUCCUACGGGAGGCAGCAGUGGGGAAUAUUGGACAAUGGGCGCAAGCCUGAUCCAGCCAUGCCGCGUGUGUGAAGAAGGCCUUCGGGUUGUAAAGCACUUUCAGCGAGGAGGAAGGGUGGUGUGUUAAUAGCACAUCAUUUUGACGUUACUCGCAGAAGAAGCACCGGCUAACUCUGUGCCAGCCGCCGCCGUAACAC